GUUGGAGCAUCUGGGAGCAGGGAUUAGAGCAGGAGUGCUGGACUGAGGUGACGGUCAUCUGGGAGCAGGGAUUAGAGCACAGGCGCUGGAUUGAGGUGGGGGUGUUGGGAGCAGGGAUUAGAGCAGAGGUGCUGGAUUGAGGUGGGGGUGUUGGAGCAUCUGGGAGCAGGGAUUAGAGCAGAGGUGCUGGAUUGAGGUGGGGGUGUUGGAGCAUCUGGGAGCAGGGAUUAGAGCAGAGGUGCUGGAUUGAGGUGGGGGUGUUGGAGCAUCUGGGAGCAGGGAUUAGAGCACAGGCGCUGGAUUGAGGUGGGGGUGUUGGGAGCAGGGAUUAGAGCAGGAGUGCUGGACUGAGGUGGGGGUGUUGGAGCAUCUGGGAGCAGGGAUUAGAGCACAGGUGCUGGAUUGAGGUGGGGGUGUUGGGAGCAGGGAUUAGAGCAGGAGUGCUGGACUGAGGUGGGGGUGUUGGAGCAUCUGGGAGCAGGGAUUAGAGCAGAGGUGCUGGAUUGAGGUGCAGGUGUUGAAGGAGCAGGGAUUAGAGCAAGGGUGCUGGAUUGAGGUGGGGAUUUGGAAGCAGGAAUUAGAUCUUUCCUGGCUCCAACUAUGCACUGAGCAGAGGUCUCAACAAAGUUGCCCUCAGCAAUACCCAGAUCCUUUUUAGAGCACUGGGUUUACU